rnacentral:rRNA from 1 species
GAACGAACGCUGGCGGCGUGCCUAACACAUGCAAGUCGAACGAGAAUUUUCCCUUCGGGGGAAUAGUAAAGUGGCGCAAGGGUGAGUAACACGUGAAUAAUCUGCCUACGAAUUUGGGAUAACGCGGCGAAAGCUGUGCUAAUACCAGAUAAGACCACGUCUCUUAUGUGAUGUGGCCAAAGGAGCCUCAAGCUCCGUUUGUAGAUGAGUUCGCGGACCAUUAGCUAGUUGGAGGGAUAACAGCCCACCAAGGCAACGAUGGUUAGCCGGCCUGAGAGGGUGAACGGCCACACUGGAACUGAGACACGGUCCAGACUCCUACGGGAGGCAGCAGUGGGGAAUAUUGCGCAAUGGGCGAAAGCCUGACGCAGCAAUGCCGCGUGAGGGAUGAAGGAUUUUGGUUCGUAAACCUCUGUCAAAUGGGAAGAAUUCUGACGGUACCAUUAAAGGAAGCCCCGGCUAACUCCGUGCCAGCAGCCGCGGUAAUACGGAGGGGGCAAGCGUUGUUCGGAAUCAUUGGGCGUAAAGAGUAUGUAGGCGGCUGGACAAGUCAGACGUGUAAGCCCGUGGCUCAACCACGGAAUUGCGUUUGAAACUGUUUAACUUGAGUGCAGGAGAGGAAAGCGGAAUUUCAGGUGUAGCGGUGGAAUGCGUAGAUAUCAGAAGGAACAUCAAUGGCGAAGGCAGCUUUCUGGACUAAUACUGACACUGAGGUACGAAAGCGUGGGUAGCAAACAGGAUUAGAUACCCUGGUAGUCCACGCCGUAAACGAUGAUAACUAGCCGUUGGGGGGGAUUUACCCUUUAGUGGCGAAGCUAACGCGUUAAGUUAUCCGCCUGGGGAGUACGGCCGCAAGGUUAAAACUCAAAGGAAUUGACGGGGACCCGCACAAGCGGUGGAACAUGUGGUUUAAUUCGAUGCAACGCGAAGAACCUUACCUGGUCUUGACAUAUCCGGAACUUUCUAGAGAUGGAUUGGUGCCUUCGGGAAUCGUAGCACAGGUGCUGCAUGGCUGUCGUCAGCUCGUGUCGUGAGAUGUUGGGUUAAGUCCCGCAACGAGCGCAACCCUCAUCCUUAGUUGCCAUCAGUUCGGCUGGGCACUCUAGGGAAACUGCCGGUGACAAGCCGGAGGAAGGUGGGGAUGACGUCAAGUCCUCAUGGCCCUUACGGGUUGGGCUACACACGUGCUACAAUGGCGGUGACAAUGGGUCGCAAGCCCGCGAGGGUGAGCUAAUCUCCAAAAACCGUCUCAGUUCGGAUUGUUCUCUGCAACUCGAGAGCAUGAAGUUGGAAUCGCUAGUAAUCGUGGAUCAGCAUGCCACGGUGAAUACGUUCCCGGGCCUUGUACACACCGC